GACGAACGCUGGCGGCGUGCUUAACACAUGCAAGUCGAACGGAAAGGCCCUGCUUUUGUGGGGUGCUCGAGUGGCGAACGGGUGAGUAACACGUGAGUAACCUGCCCUUGACUUUGGGAUAACUUCAGGAAACUGGGGCUAAUACCGGAUAGGAGCUCCUGCUGCAUGGAGGGGGUUGGAUAGUUUCGGCGGUUGGGGAUGGACUCGCGGCUUAUCAGCUUGUUGGUGGGGUAGUGGCUUACCAAGGCUUUGACGGGUAGCCGGCCUGAGAGGGUGACCGGCCUCAUUGGGACUGCGAUAGGGCCCAGACUCCUACGUGAGGCAGCAGUCGGGAAUAUUGCACAAUGGGCGGGCGCCUGCUGCCGCAACGCCGCGUGCGGGAUGACGGCCUUCGGGUUGAAAACCGCUUUCGCCUGUGACGAAGCGUGAGUGACGGUAAUGGGUAAAGAAGCACCGGCUAACUACGUG
rnacentral:rRNA from 1 species